AUGUUUCGUAUCAUCUUCCUAAAUAAAACCCCAUCAGAAAUUCGAAAGAAGAAAAAGAGUGAAAAAGCGGAAAGAUCUCACCGGAUAGAAAAAGAAGAACAAGAAGAGCCAAAUAUCCAGCAACGAAUUCUCAACCCAUCUCUGCGAACGGCCAAACACGACGAAUCCACCGACCCCGAAGCCCUUCCAUUUCCGACCGCACGAUAA